CCUACGGGGGGCUGCAGUGGGGAAUAUUGCACAAUGGGGGAAACCCUGAUGCAGCAACGCCGCGUGAGCGAUGAAGGCCUUCGGGUCGUAAAGCUCUGUCCUAAGGGAAGAAUACUGACGGUACCUUAGGAGGAAUCCCCGGCUAACUACGUGCCAGCAGCCGCGGUAAUACGUAGGGGGCUAGCGUUAUCCGGAAUUACUGGGCUUAAAGGGUGCGUAGGCGGCCGUUCGAGUCAUAGGUGAAAGCCUACGGCUCAACCGUAGUAAGGAUGUGAAACUGUAGGGCUUGAGUGCAGGGGGGGAGAGUGGAAUUCCCAGUGUAGCGGUAAAAUGCGUAGAUAUUGGGAGGAACACCUGUUGCGAAGGCGGCUCUCUGGACUGUAACUGACGCUGAGGCACGAAAGCGUGGGGAGCGAACAGGGUUAGAUACCCGUGUAGUC
rnacentral:rRNA from 1 species